AUUGAACGCUAGCGGGAUGCUUUACACAUGCAAGUCGAACGGCAGCGCGGACUUCGGUCUGGCGGCGAGUGGCGAACGGGUGAGUAAUGUAUCGGAACGUGCCCAGUAGCGGGGGAUAACUACGCGAAAGCGUAGCUAAUACCGCAUACGCCCUACGGGGGAAGGCAGGGGAUCGUAAGACCUUGCACUAUUGGAGCGGCCGAUAUCGGAUUAGCUAGUUGGUGAGGUAACGGCUCACCAAGGCGACGAUCCGUAGCUGGUUUGAGAGGACGACCAGCCACACUGGGACUGAGACACGGCCCAGACUCCUACGGGAGGCAGCAGUGGGGAAUUUUGGACAAUGGGGGCAACCCUGAUCCAGCCAUCCCGCGUGUGCGAUGAAGGCCUUCGGGUUGUAAAGCACUUUUGGCAGGAAAGAAACGUCGCGGGCUAAUACCCCGUGGAACUGACGGUACCUGCAGAAUAAGCACCGGCUAACUACGUG
rnacentral:rRNA from 1 species